GUACUACUGAAGAGUCCCAAACUAGGAUGGAGGAAACAGCCGUUUAGUAC
rnacentral:hammerhead_ribozyme from 1 species